UUGACAGCAUUAAAGGCUGAAGUCUUGUGGAUUAUCCUCAGAACAGUAAAAGCACCAGCAGCAACAACUGCAAAUUUCUGUCUGCCAAUGUGCCACCUCCCUGCAUGAGAGGGUAUUUCAGUCUCUGUACCCAUUUAAUCCUUGGCCUCU
rnacentral:sRNA from 1 species